UACGGGGGGAGCAAGCGUUGUUCGGAUUUACUGGGCGUAAAGGGCGCGUAGGCGGCCACCGCAAGUCAGUUGUGAAAGCUCUGGGCUUAACCCAGAAAGGUCAGCUGAUACUGUGCGACUAGAGUGCAGAAGGGGCAACUGGAAUUCUCGGUGUAGCGGUGAAAUGCGUAGAUAUCGAGAGGAACACCUGCGGCGAAGGCGGGUUGCUGGGCUGACACUGACGCUGAUGCGCGAAAGCCAGGGGAGCGAACGGG
rnacentral:rRNA from 1 species